UCCGGAUAACGCAUAUUUGCUGGAAUGCUUUAUGCGUCAAAAGGAUUCGUCUGCCCAAGGAUGGGUCUGCGGCCUAUCAGGUAGUAGUGGGUGUAAUGUACCUACUAGCCAGCGACGGGUACGGGUUGUGAGAGCAAGAGCCCGGAGAUGGAUUCUGAGACAUGAAUCCAGGCCCUACGGGGCGCAGCAGGCGCGAAAACUUUACAAUGCGGGAAACCGUGAUAAGGGGACACCGAGUGCCAGCAUCAUAUGCUGGCUGUCCGGAUGUGUAAAAUACAUCCGUUAGCAAGGGCCGGGCAAGACCGGUGCCAGCCGCCGCGGUAACACCGGCGGCCCGAGUGGUGAUCGUGAUUAUUGGGUCUAAAGGGUCCGUAGCCGGUUUGGUCAGUCCUCCGGGAAAUCUGAUAGCUCAACUAUUAGGCUUUCGGGGGAUACUGCCAGACUUGGAACCGGGAGAGGUAAGAGGUACUACAGGGGUAGGAGUGAAAUCUUGUAAUCCCUGUGGGACCACCUGUGGCGAAGGCGUCUUACCAGAACGGGUUCGACGGUGAGGGACGAAAGCUGGGGGCACGAACCGGAUUAGAUACCCGGGUAGUCCCAGCCGUAAACGAUGCUCGCUAGGUGUCAGGCAUGGCGCGACCGUGUCUGGUGCCGCAGGGAAGCCGUGAAGCGAGCCACCUGGGAAGUACGGCCGCAAGGCUGAAACUUAAAGGAAUUGGCGGGGG
rnacentral:rRNA from 1 species